GGAAAAUCCGGAACACCUUGCGGGAUUUCGCUGAGAGACUCUGCACCAUGAAAGAAAGAGAGACAUACCUUAAAGCCAAAAGUAUGGAAGGCAAAGGCCAGAAGGCAACCAUAAGACCAAAGUACAGAAGAGCCAUACUAAAGGAAAAGUAUUCUCAAUCAAGGGGCAGAAACCCUGAAUAAAGUUAUUAAGCUCUUUGAAAUCUCAAGAAAAAAGCAAAUUAAACUUUGGCACCAACUAACCAGCACUUCUACUAAUAGCUUCCUGACCCAAUCCAUGGAAUAACAGAAUCAUAGAAUAGAAGAAGACUACUAAGGGCCAUCCAGUCCAGCUCCAUUCUGCAAAGCACCCAUGACAAAUGGCCAUCCAGCCGCCGUUUUAAAAUCUCCAAAGACUGAGGGAAUGUGGGACUGCUGGACCGCAUCCGCUUCCCCUCCACCACUCCCUUCUCCUUUUGUGUCGUGUCUUUUUAGAUUGUAA